rnacentral:rRNA from 1 species
AUUGAACGCUGGCGGCAGGCCUAACACAUGCAAGUCGAACGAGUGGCGGACGGGUGAGUAAUGUUUGGGAAACUGCCCGAUGGAGGGGGAUAACUACUGGAAACUGUAGCUAAUACCGCAUACCAUCGGAUGUGCCCAGGUGGGAUUAGCUAGUAGGUGGGGUAACGGCUCACCUAGGCGACGAUCCCUAGCUGGUCUGAGAGGAUGACCAGCCACACUGGAACUGAGACACGGUCCAGACUCCUACGGGAGGCAGCAGUGGGGAAUAUUGCACAAUGGGCGCAAGCCUGAUGCAGCCAUGCCGCGUGUAUGAAGAAGGCCUUCGGGUUGUAAAGUACUUUCAGCGGGGAGGCGUUACUCACAGAAGAAGCAUCGGCUAACUCCGUGCCAGCAGCAGCGGUAAUAC